UCGUCAGCUCGUGUCGUGAGAUGUUGGGUUAAGUCCUGCAACGAGCGCAACCCCUAUUGUUAGUUGCUACCAUUAAGUUGAGCACUCUAGCGAGACUGCCUGGGUUAACCAGGAGGAAGGUGGGGAUGACGUCAAAUCAUCAUGCCCCUUAUGUGUAGGGCUACACACGUGCUACAAUGGUAAGUACAGAGAGACGCAAAACCGUGAGGUCGAGCAAAUCCCUUAAAACUUGUCCCAGUUCGGAUUGUAGGCUGAAACUCGCCUACAUGAAGCCGGAGUUGCUAGUAAUCGCGAAUCAGAAUGUCGCGGUGAAUACGUUCCCGGGUCUUGUACACACCGCCCGUCACACCAUGAGAGUUGGCAAUACCCAACGUCCGUGAGCUAACCGCAAGGAGGCAGCGGCCUAAGGUAGGGUCAGCGAUUGGGGUGAAGUCGUAACAAGGUAACCGUA
rnacentral:rRNA from 1 species